GCACUGCUGAAGAGACCCGACCAAGUCGAAACAGUUGUCCAGUGC
rnacentral:hammerhead_ribozyme from 1 species